GAUGAACGCUGGCGGCGUGCCUAAUACAUGCAAGUCGAGCGAACAGACGAGGAGCUUGCUCCUCUGACGUUAGCGGCGGACGGGUGAGUAACACGUGGAUAACCUACCUAUAAGACUGGGAUAACUUCGGGAAACCGGAGCUAAUACCGGAUAAUAUAUUGAACCGCAUGGUUCAAUAGUGAAAGACGGUGUUGCUGUCACUUAUAGAUGGAUCCGCGCUGCAUUAGCUAGUUGGUAAGGUAACGGCUUACCAAGGCAACGAUGCGUAGCCGACCUGAGAGGGUGAUCGGCCACACUGGAACGGAGACACGGUCCAGACGCCUACGGGAGGCGGCAGUAGGGAAUCUUCCGCAAUGGGCGAAAGCCUGACGGAGCAACGCCGCGUGAGUGAUGAAGGUCUUCGGAUCGUAAAACUCUGUUAUUAGGGAAGAACAAAUGUGUAAGUAACUGUGCACGUCUUGACGGUACCUAAUCAGAAAGCCACGGCUAACUACGUG
rnacentral:rRNA from 1 species